ACGAAGUUGGCCCAUUAUUAAUUCUGUUUUCGUGUGCCCCGCUCAGCUAAUGUUCCAGGCUUAUUAUUGGGAAAUUUUGUAAUGACUGUUAAUAUUGCGACACGGCAGCGCAGCACGCGAUGCGACCGCGGACACAGCUGUCAUGCAUUUAUCCUCGCCGCUAUUGCCACAGAUUAUAUACUUGAUGGGGUGUGACGUUCUACUGUACUUAUGGAUACUGCUAUACCAGUUACCAGGAGAGCUGCAGAUGAUGGCGAUGACGGCCACACCCAGUUGACGUAAGUUAUUGAUAAAAAAUUACUGAGGAUUU